ACAGGGAGGUGACAAUGUUGUAGUUACAGGGAGAUGACAGUGUUGUAGUUACAGGGAGGUGACAGUGUUGUAGCUACAGGGAGGUGACAAGGUGACCGUGUUGUAGUUACAGGGAGGUGACAGUGUUGAAGUCACAGGGAGGUUACAGUGUUGAAGUCACAGGGAGGUGACAGUGUUGUAGUUACAGGGAGGUGACAGUGUUGUAGUUACAGGGAGGUGACAAGGUGA